AAAGCAUCUAAGCGCGAAGCCAACCUCAAGAUGAGUUCUCAUUUGAGGGCCGUUAUAGACUAUGACGUUGAUAGGCUACAGGUGUAAAGCCAGUAAUGGCAAAGCUGAGUAGUACUAAUUGCCCAAAACUUUUUACG
rnacentral:rRNA from 1 species